rnacentral:rRNA from 1 species
UACGUAGGUGGCAAGCGUUAUCCGGAUUUACUGGGUGUAAAGGGGGCGCAGACGGCGAUGCAAGCCAGGAGUGAAAGCCCGGGGCCCAACCCCGGGACUGCUCUUGGAACUGCGUGGCUGGAGUGCAGGAGGGGCAGGCGGAAUUCCUGGUGUAGCGGUGAAAUGCGUAGAUAUCAGGAGGAACACCAGUGGCGAAGGCGGCCUACUGGACGGUGACUGACGCUGAGGCUCGAAAGCGUGGGGAGCAAACAGG